CAGCAGCCGCGGGAAAACGUAGGUGGCAAGCGUUGUCCGGAAUUAUUGGGCGUAAAGGGCUCGCAGGCGGUUUCUUAAGUCUGAUGUGAAAGCCCCCGGCUCAACCGGGGAGGGUCAUUGGAAACUGGGAAACUUGAGUGCAGAAGAGGAGAGUGGAAUUCCACGUGUAGCGGUGAAAUGCGUAGAGAUGUGGAGGAACACCAGUGGCGAAGGCGACUCUCUGGUCUGUAACUGACGCUGAGGAGCGAAAGCGUGGGGAGCGAACAGGAUUAGAUACCCCCUGUAGUCCCUGUCUCUUAUA
rnacentral:rRNA from 1 species